CAUAUCUUUUCUCCGUAUUUUAUAUACCCAACUCAAGAUCAUCCCACAAACAACCGCACUGUCGAUAAUAAUUAGCAAAAAUCAUCAGCUUAUUCAAGAGGCCGUCUCCCAGUGCUGGACUUUACUUUAUUGGACUGGAUUAUGAAUUCUGAUUUGGAUUACGUGCCGUCGCCAGGAAGAUGAAACGUCACGUCAACAUGACCGCAGGCAAAUAAAUAGAUAUGGAUAUAUGUACAUACAUACAUAUAUAUGUGACAGGAAUCUCUGGCCUCAAGGAGUAAUAGGUAAAUCCAAAUUUAAGAAAUUUUGAAGCACUUAUAGCAUUGAUUUUAGAGGCUUUCUAAUGUACUAAAUCUCCAUUUAUUCAACCGAUGGCUUCAAAAGGUGCCUAUCCGAGUGGUAGAGAUACAGCCUUGAGAAGAACUUUUGUGCGCUCGAGGCUAGCU